GCGCCGCUCGUACGCACGUCGUGUCUCGACUCUCAGCGCGUUUCAUUGACUGGACCGCCUACUGCGCCCCCCCCUCCUCCCACACGCGUCCGCUUGCGCUCGUCCUCGGGGAGAGUCCGCGCGCGCACGUUGAAGCCCACCUUUCGCUGACGAAGACCGGUUUCCUGUCCGGCCUCUUAUUGGUCGACAUCACAAGUGGGCGGGAACCAACUGGAGACGAAGAGGAAAACGGGGAAGCAGAGAAAAAGCAGUAGGUGGACAGACAGAUGGAGGUAGAAGUGCCGAGUCACAUCCUCCUUAACCAGAGGGAAGACAAUGGAGAUGCCACCCCACCUCUCCAAGCAAAAGUGCCUUCCUGCGCCCG